AGUCGAACGGAAAGGCCUGCAGCCUGCUGCGGGUACUCGAGUGGCGAACGGGUGAGUAACACGUGGGUGAUCUGCCUUGCACUUCGGGAUAAGCUUGGGAAACUGGGUCUAAUACCGGAUAGGACAGCUGUUUAGUGUCAGUUGUGGAAAGUUUUUUCGGUGCAAGAUGAGCUCGCGGCCUAUCAGCUUGUUGGUGGGGUAAUGGCCUACCAAGGCGUCGACGGGUAGCCGGCCUGAGAGGGUGUACGGCCACAUUGGGACUGAGAUACGGCCCAGACUCCUACGGGAGGCAGCAGUGGGGAAUAUUGCACAAUGGGCGGAAGCCUGAUGCAGCGACGCCGCGUGGGGGAUGAAGGCCUUCGGGUUGUAAACUCCUUUCGACAGGGACGAAGCGUAAGUGACGGUACCUGUAUAAGAAGCACCGGCUAACUACGUGCCAGCAGCCGCGGUAAUACGUAGGGUGCGAGCGUUGUCCGGAAUUACUGGGCGUAAAGAGCUCGUAGGUGGUUUGUCGCGUCGUCUGUGAAAUUCCGGGGCUUAACUCCGGGCGUGCAGGCGAUACGGGCUGACUUGAGUGCUGUAGGGGAGACUGGAAUUCCUGGUGUAGCGGUGAAAUGCGCAGAUAUCAGGAGGAACACCGAUGGCGAAGGCAGGUCUCUGGGCAGUAACUGACCGCUGAGGAGCGAAAGCAUGGGUAGCGAACAGGAUUAGAUACCCUGGUAGUCCAUGCCGUAAACGGUGGGCGCUAGGUGUAGGGGGCUUCCACGUCUUCUGUGCCGUAGCUAACGCAUUAAGCGCCCCGCCUGGGGAGUACGCCGCAAGG
rnacentral:rRNA from 1 species